rnacentral:lncRNA from 1 species
AGUGAGAGAUGUGAGGCCUUUUUCUGUAUAAACUUGAUAGAAAAUGUUGGGUUUAGGGCGACAAGAGUAGAGUCUCAUGUAGAUCUAGCUCUGCAUCAUGAGUCUAGAGUAGGCUAUGAAGAGAUCUUGGGAAACACUGAGUGAAAAAGAGAGAGUUUGAAAUGAGAACCAGGGGAUAUAAAAGAAAAGAAAGCGGUUUGGGGUCUGCUGUUUAAAGAAAGAAAAGCUCUUGUGUUUUGAAAAGGAAAGUCUAGCCUCUAAGUAAAAAUAAAAGAAAAGAAACCUAAAGGCUUAAGUGUUUGAAAAGAAAAGAAAAGAGGCUAGUUGUUGGGGUCGGUUUCCACCCUAGCUGAAUUAACCAUUUCGAAAUGACUAAGUGUCGGAAGAUGUCGACGAACCCGAGUUCUGUGAAGAAGCAAGCCGAGCCCAUCCAUAAAUCAGGAUGGGCCGAGCCCUGCUAUGACCGUGGGCCAAGCCCUUGAAGCAGCAUGG